rnacentral:rRNA from 1 species
UGGGGAAUUUUGGACAAUGGGCGAAAGCCUGAUCCAGCAAUGCCGCGUGCGUGAAGAAGGCCUUCGGGUUGUAAAGCACUUUUGUCCGGAAAGAAAUCCUUGGCUCUAAUACAGUCGGGGGAUGACGGUACCGGAAGAAUAAGCACCGGCUAACUACGUGCCAGCAGCCGCGGUAAUACGUAGGGUGCAAGCGUUAAUCGGAAUUACUGGGCGUAAAGCGUGCGCAGGCGGUUUGCUAAGACCGAUGUGAAAUCCCCGGGCUCAACCUGGGAACUGCAUUGGUGACUGGCAGGCUAGAGUAUGGCAGAGGGGGGUAGAAUUCCACGUGUAGCAGUGAAAUGCGUAGAGAUGUGGAGGAAUACCGAUGGCGAAGGCAGCCCCCUGGGCCAAUACUGACGCUCAUGCACGAAAGCGUGGGGAGCAAACAGGAUUAGAUACCCUGGUAGUCCACGCCCUAAACGAUGUCAACUAGUUGUUGGGGAUUCAUUUCCUUAGUAACGUAGCUAACGCGUGAAGUUGACCGCCUGGGGAGUACGGUCGCAAGAUUAAAACUCAAAUGAAUUGACGGGGUCAUAGCUGUUUCCU